AGUAGCCGCGGUAAUUCCAGCUCCAAUAGCGUAUAUUAAAGUUGUUGCAGUUAAAAAGCUCGUAGUUGAAUUUCGGGGUCAGUAGGUUGGUCAUGCCACUGGUAUGUACUGGUCUCACUGAUUCCUCCUUCCUGAUGAGCCGUAAUGCCAUUAAUUUGGUGUUGCGAGGAAUCUGGACUGUUACUUUGAAAAAAUUAGAGUGUUUAAAGCAAGCUAACGCUUGAAUACAUUAGCAUGGAAUAAUGAAAUAGGACGUUCGAUCCUAUUUUGUUGGUUUCUAGGAUUGACGUAAUAAUUAAUAGGGAUAGUUGGGGGCAUUAGUAUUCAAUUGUCAGAGGUGAAAUUCUUGGAUUUAUUGAAGACUAACUACUGCGAAAGCAUUUGCCAAGGAUGUUUUCAUUAAUCAAGAACGAAAGUUAGGGGAUCGAAGACGAUCAGAUACCGUCGUAGUCUUAACCAUAAACUAUGCCGACUAGGGAUCGGAUGAUGUUAAUUUUUUAAUGACUCAUUUCGGCGCCG
rnacentral:rRNA from 1 species